UAUAAAGUAAGUAAAAAUAAUUUCAAACUUAAUAUAGAAAGAUUAAACUAUACCUUUUGUAUCAGGGUUUUACUAUUUAAAAAAUAAAUUUAAUAUUAGAGACAAGAAGAUUUAAAUGGUUUUUUAUCUUUACUGAGUGAGUAAAUAUUAAAACUAUUUAGAACAGACAUUGUAUCGCUUCUUGUUAUAACUAAUUUCUAUAAUAAAACAGGGAUCAGCUUUAUACAAAUUUACUUUCUUUUGCACAUACAAAAUAUAAGCUUAGAAGUAGCUAUUAUCUUGUGUAAAAACUUAAAUAAACCAAAACAAAGUAUUUUAUUAGAAAUUUCUUAGUUAACUUAAUACUAAGCUAACAAUGUAAAAAUGAGUAUCUUAUAAUAACAUGAAAUAAAUAAUUCGGCAAAAAUAACGGUAACUGUUUAAUAAAAACAUUUCCUUCUUAUUUUUUGGAAGGUACGCCCUGCUCAAUGUUUUGAUUCAAAAUAAAUAGCCGCAGUAACCUGACUGUGCUAAGGUAGCGCAAUCCAUAGUUUCUUAAUUAGAAACCAGUAUGAAUGGGCUAAUACUGUUAUGCUUUCUUAUUUCAUAAAAGAAAAAUUUAAAAUCUAAAUUAAAAUGUUAGAAUGAAUAAACAAGACGAGAAGACCCUGAGAAGUUUUCUUAAGAAAUUAAUUUAGCUGGGGAAUCUAAAGAUAAUUAAACAUCUUUUUCUUAACCUCUAAGAGAUAAAGAGAAAAAAUUACUCCGGGGAUAACAGGGUAAUUAUUUUUUGAGUGCGUAUUAAAAAAAUGGUUUGCUACCUCGAUGUUGGGUUAAAAUUACAAAAAUGUGCAGCAGCAUUUUGGGUUAGUCUGUUCGACUAUGAAAAUUUUACAUGACCUGAGUUUAGACCGGCGCGAGCCAGGUCGGCUUCUAUCUGUUUAAAUAAACUCUUUUUGUACGAAAGGACU
rnacentral:rRNA from 1 species